UGCAACAGAAAGAAACUUCCCAUAUUUCACUCUCUCGUUUAUAGAUUGGUGUAAAAGGAGAAAUGGAAAGAGCUUUCGCAAACCUUAAUCUUGAAGGAAACUUCUAUAGCUGCAAACAUUGCCAGACACAUUUUGCCCUUGUUGAUGAUAUCAUUUCCAAGGUGUAAGGUGAUGGGGCCUGAUUGAAGCCUCUACUUGGCUGAUCAAGAAGAUGCUGAAGAGUGAAGAUGCUUGAU
rnacentral:lncRNA from 1 species